GUAACGCGUAGCCAACCUACCCUAUGGACAGGGAUAACCUCGGGAAACUGAGGAUAAUACCUGAUAGAUCAUAAUGCCUGGAACGGUUUAUGGUCCAAAUGAUUCGUCGCCGUAGGAUGGGACUGCGGCCUAUCAGCUUGUUGGUGAGGUAAUGGCCCACCAAGGCUAUUACAGGUACGGGCUCUGAGAGGAGAAGCCCGGAGAUGGGUACUGAGACACGGACUCUGGCCCUAUGGGGCGCAGCAGGCGAGAAAACUUUGCAAUGUGCGAAAGCACGACAAGGUUAAUCCGAGUGAUUCCUGCUAAAGGAAUCUUUUGUUAGUCGUAAAACCACUGAUGAAUAAGGGGUGGGCAAGUUCUGGUGU
rnacentral:rRNA from 1 species